rnacentral:rRNA from 1 species
ACGAACGCUGGCGGCAGGCCUAACACAUGCCAGUCGAACGAAGUCUUCGGACUUAGUGGCGCACGGGUGAGUAACACGUGGGAAUAUACCUUACGCUGGGGGAUAACAUCGGGAAACUGAUGCUAAUACCGCAUACGCCCUUCAGGGGAAAGAUUUAUCGGCGAAAGAUUAGCCCGCGUCCGAUUAGCUAGUUGGUGAGGUAAUGGCUCACCAAGGCUCCGAUCGGUAGCUGGUCUGAGAGGAUGACCAGCCACACUGGGACUGAGACACGGCCCAGACUCCUACGGGAGGCAGCAGUGGGGAAUAUUGGACAAUGGGCGCAAGCCUGAUCCAGCCAUGCCGCGUGAGUGAUGAAGGCCUUAGGGUUGUAAAGCUCUUUCACCCACGACGAUGAUGACGGUAGUGGGAGAAGAAGCCCCGGCUAACUUCGUG